ensembl:lncRNA
CCUGAGGCCGUUAGAGGGAGGAGACGGGCGGCCCGAGGCGGGAGCUGCGGCCGACAACCGCGGGAACGCCAGGCCCGGGCAGCACCCCGAGAGGCCUCUGGGGGUCGCCAAGAUCCCCACAGGCGAAAGGAACGCACAGUGCGGGGCCGGCAUUUGCUGCAGGGAGCCAGAGAAGCGCGCAGUUGAGCGGGAAGCCACGCUCCCUCGCUUCUUCCCCACGCAGCGCCUCCGGGGCUUUCCUCCAGCUUCCCGCUUGUGCGCUCGGCCCCGCUCUUCGCACACUUUUUUCCUGUCUGAGGGCUCCGGUGGUGGUCCUGGCUCCACCGCCGCCUGCCUUUGUGCCCGACCGUGCAGAUUUAGAGUCUCGAAGUCGCUGCCUUACGUCGGCCGUGGGGCCUCCGCCCACGAGUGCGGAGCCGGCGCGGCCUGCCCGGAGGAAACGGCCAGAUGGUGCUACCUACUACUGACUACUCCCCAAUCCCUCCACAUUCCAAGAAUGUCUUCCUGAGACUAUAUCCUUGUGACGUGGGGGCAGGAGGAGAAGGGGACGACAGAGGAUGAGAUGGCUGGAUGGCAUCAUGGACUCGAUGGACGUUAAAGUGUGGUACAGAAUAAGUCUUGGGACACAAGAGGCACUUGAGAGCUGAGAUCCAGUAUGAAAAAUAAGAUGAAUUAACUUACUAGGCUGCAACAAUAUUUACAUUCCUAAGUUGCCCCAAAUUUGUUUCACAUUUUGAGCUCAAAAGGCUUGUGGGAACUUUAGGGAAACUCCACUGGCAUCUUUUAAAUUUUGCUUACUGUCCCCAAGAGGAAUAGCAUCAGAAUUUAACAGAAAUGGCACUAUCUGGCCUACAGUAUCAAUAAUCUUAUCACAGAUCCACCCCCUGUGGUUUGCUGUUAAGACUCUUUGAGGGUUCCAGGUCACUGUCAACUUCAUUUGAGUUCACAGUUGUAGCUUCACAAAUAAAAAUAAUCUUAGUUGAUGGUCUGCAA